CUUCUAGGUCAGGAAGUCCUCUCACUGCCUCAUUCAGUGCUGCAACUUUUGGAGCAGAAUUGAUGUGCAGUUCAGAUAGUAUCCAAGAUUCCCGGGUCCAAGAGACAUUAAUGCAAAACCCUCAGAAGCAUCAGAGUUGCCAUCCUGAAUUAGACUCAUGCUCCAACUUGUCCAACGAAGUAUCUCCAACCAGCUUGUUGUUUCAAGAAAAAGCAGCUAUUCUGAGUAGUUAGACUCACUCUUCCAGAAGCAUAACUUUUAAUUCAUCUGCUAGAGUUUAUGUUUUAUAGCAAAAUACAUGUUAACUUGCAACUGCUUUGAAAAGUUGGAGGUUUUUAAGUAAAAAUUAGAUUUUAGCUUCUAUACCUGUAGUCUUUCCAUCCAUUUCUUCUUCCUGUCCCCUCAAAAAAGAAAAAAAUAGCCCCAAAACAACUUUUUCUUUUUUCCAGUACUACGAAGUAUAUGACUGACUAGGUGCCUCACUGCUCCAAGUGUCUCCGGUAUAGCUUCCUGAGCCCAAGGAAAAUGAAUAGGGCUUUGUGAAAAUGGCAGUUUGCAGGAUCACAAGUCAGCUGACAUGGGGGAAAAAAAAAGCCACCUAUACUUAAUGUAUUGUCAAUUUCACAACAAAGACACAGUGGAAAAAUAGAUAGAAAUCUGUAUUUUCCUGUCUGGUUUCUCACUUGUCAGGCACUACACACAGUAAUAGAAAGAAAGAAAACAGAUCAGCACAAUUCUUGGUUUUCUUACUGCUUUCUCACACCUACAGAAGCUGUUCUGCAUUAAGGAUUACAGGGAAGCAGAAAAGUACAAUUCUAAACUUACUUAAGGAAAAUAAAUGUUCCAUGUAGAGUAUGGAAAGCACCAUAAAAACAACAGAGGAGUGAAAGGCUGUAUUUUUUUGGUUUGUGCGCUUUUCAUCUUUAUAAAUGUGUUUUUCCCUAUUUGGUCUGUAUUUUCACUUGCUCCUAGGUAUGUGAUGUGUACAUUUGCAACUACCUGUGCAUGGAAUGGGAAACACACUAGCAUACAUUUUCCUUCCCCCAAAAUGUCUACUAGAUAUACAAAAUUAAGUAAGUGCUAAAUCUGACCCUUGCCAGUUGUUCAGCUUUCAUGUUUUUGAUUUUUAGUGUUGCCAUUUAAGUAAUACUUCAGAGCUUUUUGGGCAGACAAACUUGAAAUGAAAUAUAAAAGCAUGCAAAGGAGUGCAGAGGGAACAAAAAUUUGGUAACCUGAAAAGAAAGUAUGUUAAAAUCUGUAAUAUGUACACACACAUACCACCACUGCUCCAUAUCCCAGGAAGAGAUGAGUCCCAUGUAUUUCCCAGCUUUCAUAUGUUCUCUUUAAGGGAUAAAUGGCAUUCCUUUUAUUAAGCUGUACAUGCACGUGAAGCUUCAUGGAAAUGCCUUACUUCUGUGGUCUUUAACUUUGGGAAAAUGGUAGAAACUCCUUCCUGUUUGACUGCAGCAAUUCCUUUUCCUCAUUUUACCGUGAGGAGAGUAAUGCUACUUGCACACAAGAGAAAAUACGCAAUCAUUCUUUUCUCCUUUUUGCUUACAUAAGAGCUGAAAGAGUUUUGUGUCCUUUGGCAAGUAUAAAAAUUUUAUAACUUCAAAGAAUGUGACUUCAAACACAAGUGAAGUAGCACUGAAAGAACAAACAGAUUAAACAAAGAUGAAAAAAAGCAUCAGGGGCAUGAAAUGGGGGUGAGUGUUGCAUGAACAGUUGUUGUCUUUUAUUCCAAGGGACAAAUCUGGAAAGAUACUAAAGGACACUGAAGUUGAGGGCAAGACUCUCCCACCAGAAUCAGGCCCAGGGUUAAUGUUUACCCUUUGAUCUCUCUAACAACCGUAGAAGUGGCAAGAGAAGGAACAAAUAGUCAGGGCAAACUCAGGAAUGCCUUUGUCACAUAUUCUCUCACAUGCCUUACUCUUGCUUGCUACCUUCUGCUACCCAGCUGGUGCAAGAGUAAUGGGAACUGUAGGUCAAAAAGAAGCCAGAAAAGAAAAUGAAAGGUGGUAAAGAGCUCACUGAAACAGGAGCAGAUUCUGGAUAUGACACAAAUCAUUUUGUCCUGAAAAUGACAGGACAGGUGAGCAAGAAACCACUCCAGUGUAAUUACAAAAUUACAGUGUUGUAAUAGACAUCAAGAUAAAAUGGGAGCAACCAAUGUGAAUGUACAACUGCUAGCAGCAGCCAUGUGUAUAACAAGAUCUGGGAUCAGCCUUCCUACUCUGUUGCAUGACAGUGAAUACCAUGACUCAUCCAGACAAAUUCAGAAUAUGGAAGAGGCAUUUGUACCAACUGCUUCCUCCCUAUGAGGAGAAAACAGAUUUUAGGAUUCAUUUUGUAAAGCAAGUGAUGUGCUUUGCACAAUGUUCUGAGUGCUUCCUACAAAACUGCUAAGAAAGUCUGAAAAAAUGUGCAUGGGACUGGAUAAGGAGCAUUAGACCCCCUGAUAAUAAGGUCCUACAGCACAUGCAGGGCAUAGGCUUCAAAUGUUUCUGAAGACCAGAACUGGCCUGACAGGUUUGGUUUAGGUCCAGAGGGUAGAACAUGAAACAUGUUGUCAGUUGGGUGCUUCUGACCAGCUACAGUGCAUUUUCACAGAAUCACAAAAUUUUCAUCUCUGCAAGGCAUCCCCAAUGAUUACCACCACUUCUCCCCACACUUUUUUUUUUUUUUUUUUUGAGCAACAGAUUGGUGCCAUUAUUCACUUGGUUGGGUAAAUGCAGAAAUUUCCACCAAGCUUCUUACAUUUAAUGCAGGUCUAAAACUUGCCUUGCAGUGGUAUUAGCUUUCGUAACAGCAACGCCUCUUUGUGUCAACAUGUCUCAUUAAGUAAUAAAGACUUUCAGCUAUUUGAUUUUACUCAUAAAGUUAGUAGGAUUCAUGAUUUCUUUCUUGUUCUUUAAAAAGGGAAUUGUUCUAGUAUCCUAACAGGCAGUGAAUCAUGCUUAAUUAAGGAAAAAAUAUAUAACCAUUUACAGUAGGAUUCUUGUAUUGUAAAGAGCUGAGCUGUUUUGUCACAAAAGCUUUUGGGACUUGAAUUAAUUAUACAUUUUUAAAAGGGGAGGAGGGGCACAAAAAUAACUUGAAACCUUUGUGACAAUUCCCUUAGCCCCCAUCUCAUACUUUGGGUCAGUCUGUUCCAGACAAACCCGUCAACACAGCCCAGACUGCGUUGAAGCGCAGAGGAUAAAAACAACGGCAUUUGACAAAGGACACAGUGGUCUAGAAUGCAACACAGAUGCAGAAAGCUCAGCCAAAACCCAAACUAUGAUAUGUGUUCUUAAAACUGUGCAGUUUUUUAUUCCUUUCCCCCUCCUCUGCUGUCCAUGAGGACCAGGGACAUUCCUAGAACUCUGUCCUCACUGGCUGCGUCAAGGCAGCUGCCGAGGAUGCUGGGACACUGUUUGUAAACACUCAAACCACGUGCACGCAACCACAUGGAGAGUCAUCCUCCUGACCUAAACCUACCCACUUGGUAAGCUGGGGUUUCACUGCAAUGGAGCCAAAUCCUUUCCCAACACAGUGUGACUUAGGGUAGCUCACGCCAGGACACUGGAACACAAACUUGGACUGCUUAUGCAUUAUUGGAAAGGAGAUUAGGCAGAAGAGUUGUUUAAACUUUAGUCAUUGAAAUGUACAUUUAGGGACAGAGUAGCUCAUGUAGAGUAAAGAAUGCAGAAGAUGUUCUUUUAUACAGCUGCAAAAAUUCAACUUAAACCUGGAAACUUCUCCUCUGCCAUGCAUACACCUGGUAAAACCAAUAUUCGUAUGCUGGGAAAACGCGUGGAAUAUAUUUGAGGUUAGAGGUAAUGCUGUAGAACAUGUGAAGAUUAUUUCAUUGUCUAAAUUGCAUCACAGUAUUUAAUCAGAGUGCCGAUGGUACUGCCCUGUACCUGGGGAAGACACUUCCAAGGGGUAUUUGGUUAUUGAGCUAUUCCUGGUUAUCUUAGCUAUCUAAACACUCACUUGCUCACUCUGUCUGUUGUGGUUUAACAAAACUUGUACUUGAUUAGGCUUAAAAUGCUGCAUUAUCCUUUCUUGCUGAACUUGAGCAUAGAACAAGCCUAUUCCUUUCCACACUGCAACAGAAAUGCCUCCUGUAUUUCAUUUAUUAUUUUUGUUUUGGUAAGAGGAAAAACACACACACAAGAAAUUAGGUCAGAUACUGCAAGCCUUUAUUUAUCUGAAAGAAUAAUCCUUCUGGGAUUUCUUGCCAUAUGUAUACUACAAGGCAAUAAUACUCCAACUUGGAAUCCCCACCUCCACAGAAAACUUUGCUUUUUAAAGACAGCCUGAAUUUUUUUCAGGUUACUAAGAUGAUUCAGAGUUCUGGAAGGUGUUUGACACAGAUGAGCAAGCCUGCUUGAAAAGAUAGACACGAAUCUAAAUCUUUAUGAUUUUAUUUGUUAAAGUGUUUUUCAAAGCAUGGCAAUUGUCUUUAAAGUGACCCCAGAUUUAAAAUCCUUUACUAUGAAAAACUAGUAGAUCCACCUAUAAGUUAGGACUUUAUUUUUUUCUUCAUUUCAAGAACAGUGUGAGAUAUGUGGGCGAAAUUAGUUAGCUGUUCUUUCUAUUUCUCAAACCUUGUUUUUCUCUACCUUCCUCCUGUUACUCCCUGCUAUGUAAUGCAGGGCACAUUCCCAGUAUUUUAAUCCAAACAACCUUUUUGGGUCAGUCAUCAGCUGUCCUUGGGAUUAGUCCAGCUGAUGCUGGAGGUUCAGAAUUUUAUUCCUUAACCCCACCAUCUCUGCAUCCACCCACUGAGCAAUUCCUUGGCAAAAUGGGUGAUUUUCCAUGUACAUAUAUAUACACACACUCACAUAUAGAUAAUUCUUUAAAGCAGACUUAUCUACCCUAAGGUAAGGCAGAAGUGAUUUCUUUUCAAUAGGUGACUGAGAGGAUGAUUACUCACGGUACUUUCCAUUUGUAAGGUUUUAUUAUCUAGGAUUAUUGGGACGAGGUAUACAAAUUGAACAUGUAAGCAAGCAGUGAUGAUAAAGUAACAACCGGAACUAUGGCAACUUGUUAGUAGUUAUUUGUUCAGUGUUCAAAAGCAUAUUUCUGCUGCAGAAUAUCACUAAAUGAGUAAGAUGGUAUUCACUGCCUUAUGAAGUAAGAGAUGGGAAUAAUGCUGCAAGUGUGAUUGAUUCAUACAAUUCUCUUUUUGGCUUUCAGCCAUGAUGCAGUCAUAUGCUUUAUCUCUGUUCAGACUACAGCUUUUUUUUUAAAUAAUGAAUCAUAGUACAUCCCACUCCAUUUCAGAACCAGCACAUUGCCUUUCAAAAUGAUGUCACAACACUUAAUGCUGCUGGCUGACUGCCUUAACAGCAAUCAGAGAGCUGGACUAAAUAAAUACUGUAUAUUAUUUGCCAAAAUAAUAUGUGGUUGUGUUCUCCAGCGCAGUUUCCAAGAUAACCACUGACUCUACUUGAAACUUGGCAACUUUGUUCUACCACUUUCAAGCUCCAGUUGUGAAGCUGGCUUACAGAUGCUGCUACCAUGCCUAGAGCUACUGUGCGGCAGCCCAGGGAGAGAGGCAGAGGGGUCACUCGCUGUGACAAGCCAAAUUUGACAGCUCUUCAGGAAUUCCACCUUGACAAAUUGUCAGCUUUUUAAAAAGGACCUUACUUGGCUCCUGUAGAAACACAAAAUACAUCUUCCACUUGGAACAAAAUGGAACAAGGGAUUUAAAGUCACUGCUUAGGCACACUCUGAUAAAAACACUACUGUCCAUGCAAGUAACUUAGGCGUGAGGCACUCCCUGUAACCCUGACCAGGGUCAGUAACAUUAAUGCAACCUGACCUUCAUGUUUUUUAACAUCCAAGCAGCAGGUUUGUUCCAAAAUAUGGUGAGGGGUUUUUUUUUCCCUUUUCUUUUGGGCUGUCUAACUGUUGCUAAUAUUUAACAGAAUCAUGUGGAAGACACAGGCCCAGCAUCUGAAGUGCUUGGGGCAAGAAGGAACAGUCCCAUCCAACUUUGGCAGCUGAAACGUCCAUUCCAGCAGCAACUACAGGUUCUCCCAAUUCUGCAUGCAGAAGUCAAAACAUUUACAACCUCCUAUUUCUGCUACCCAGUGCAGCACUGGUACCAACAAGAGACCUUGGAAAUCUGUCCAUCAUAAGAACUCCUCAAUAACUCUGCAACAAGCACACGUUUCUUGUUCUUUAAACAAUGCUGACAUGCCAAAGUCUAGGACCAUGUGCACUGUAUCAAAACAAUACCAGUUUUCCUGGCUAAAAGCCACCACAAUGAAUCACCACAAUGCCAAAGUUCUCGUUAAAAACCUUACUACCAACAGUGAUAAUUCGGUAGAUUCAGGUGCCUCAGUGUCUCCCAUUCAACCUUGUCUUCUUUUGAAGAUUUGUUGGGAAUGGGCAACACAAAACAACUUUCUGAGAUUCCCUGGAUGCAUUCACAAAGGUCUUGUUUCAAUGUCACUUCCCAAAGUGAAACAACUAUUUCCACUGAAAGAUGACUUUUGAGUUCUUCAUCUCACAUAAACAGCACUUUAGUCCCACGACCAAAACAAUGUUAUUUUCCACAUAUUUGCCUUCCUUUUUUUCCCUCCUCCCUACACCCUGGCUUCUAGAUUUAAAUGUUUUCUGACUUCACUGGCAGGGUUCAUACUACACUUUCCAUGAGAGAGACAAAAUACUGCUCAACAGUGAUUUAUUUUCAUUGGUUCCAAAUGGUCAUUUUCUGCGGGGUGGAAUCCAAGAUGGGUACGUUUUUUCAGAGAGUUUACAGCAGCAGUCAGAUCCCCUUGCAACUCUACCUUAUACAUGACUACUGACCACUGACAUCUUCCUGUUGAGUAUCUUCGGCAACCACGUCCUGUUUUGCACUUUACAGCCUCCAGAGAAAGUGCCAUAGUGGAAUACACAUGCGGAUACACAAGGGAAUGUGUGACUGCACUCACCCCCUGCUGCAGUAAGUCAACCUGCCAUUAACACGCCAAUAGAACGGCCUCAUUAGCUGACAAACAACACCCACUGACCUGCUUUCACUAGGGACAGUAUAUCGCAUCAUCUUUGAAACUCUUAAACUUCACAUUGAAAAGGAGAAGAAAAUAAAAUUAUGCUGAACAUA